GUUCUCAGCCCUUGGCAAAGUUCGAAGUAUAAACGUUCGAGUCAGUUGUGAUCUCGGAAUUAGCAAUUAACCUCACAUUUUCCGCACCAUGCUUCGGCUGUUUGAGACAUCCUUGCAUGCAAAGCUGUAUGCAGAGUUCCGGCCGAACCCGCCAGCAUCUCUCAUUAAUGUUGUUUUGCAAGCUGUCAAGAAGAAGUUGCCACUGGAUCGUGCACUUGAUGUCGGCUGCGGCAGUGGACAGAACACCCGCUGUCUGGCACCCCAUUUCCGUUCCGUACUAGCCACGGACGUCAGUCCAGCGCAGAUCAAGGAGGCGGCCGCAAGUAACACUGUCGCAAAUAUCGAAUACCGGGUAUCAGCUGCCGAGGAGAUCCCAGCGCCGCCCGACUCCAUACAGCUGAUCGCCGCCUGCCAGUGCGCCCAUUUCUUCGAGCUGCC